rnacentral:rRNA from 1 species
AUAUCAAUAAGCGGAGGAAAAGAAACUAACAAGGAUUCCCCUAGUAACUGCGAGUGAAGCGGGAAAAGCUCAAAUUUAAAAUCUGGCGUAAGCCCGAGUUGUAAUCUAGAGAAGUGUUUUCAGCCGCAGGCCUCGGACAAGUCCCUUGGAACAGGGCGUCAUAGAGGGUGAGAAUCCCGUCCUUGCCGAGUUUCCUGUGUCUAUGUGAUACGCUCUCGAAGAGUCGAGUUGUUUGGGAAUGCAGCUCAAAAUGGGUGGUAAACUCCAUCUAAAGCUAAAUAUUGGCGAGAGACCGAU